AUUUAUGUAGUUUAAAAAAACCUAUCAUUUUCAAUGAUAAAUUAAGAAUUAUCUUCAUAAAUA
rnacentral:tRNA from 2 species